GGGGGGGCGGUCACUCAUUGAUCGCAGGAACUUUUAAACCCACAGACAGAAUUAGGGUGGCGGAACUUCACUGUCACUCCACUGGGACUCUACUGGGUUCGACUCAGAGGAAGAUGAAGGAGACUUUUAUUCUCCUGGAAACAAACUGAACGUCUUUCUUUCCGUCUUCUGUCCCUCUGCCACCCAGCUUCACCUGGCCGAUCUCCACCCGUCAUUGGAGGAGGGCUCAGUGCACCUGGAUACCUGAUCACCUGCGGUCCAAGCCACACUUUUACCUUUGUUUUUGCUGUUGUGAAGCAGCUGACAGGCUUCAGGUUUGCACCAGAAGCUCCAGGAUCAGCCUCCGUGGUAAAGCUGCAGCGAUGGCUGCUGGAAAGCAGCGGGGCGGCCGGGGGGGGCCUCCGGAUGGCGGGUGGGGGUGGGUGAUUGUCGGCUGCUGCUUCAUGGUGAUGGUGUGCACGCGUGCAGUGACCAGGUGUGUCUCCAUCUUCUUCGUGGAGUUCCAGGCUCACUUCGGGGCCGACUAUGCUGCCACCGCCUGGAUCCACAGCCUGCUGGACUGCAGCACCAUGCUCUGCGCUCCCGUCGGCAGCCUGGUGGGGAGCCGCUGGUCUUGCAGGGCGGCGGUGGUGGUGGGGGGCCUCCUGGCCUCCUGCGGCCUCCUGCUCAGCUCCUUCGCCACCAGCCUGGAGGUGCUUUACUUCAGCGCCGGGAUCCUGACAGGUCUGGGCUUCGCCCUCUGCUACACCCCUGCCAUCGCCCUGGUGGGCUGUUACUUCCAGCGGAGGAAGGCGCUGGCAUACGGCGUGGCCAUGUCGGGCAGCGGGAUCGGGACCUUCGUGCUGGCUCCGGUGGUGCAGAUGCUCAUCCAGCUGUACUCGUGGAGGGGGGCGCUGCUCGUCCUCAGUGGCUUCGUCGCAAACCUGUGCGUCUGUGGGGCGCUGCUCCGACCAAUAGCACUGCAGGAGGAGCAGUGUGGUGACAUCUCACAGCAGGAUGUGGAUAAACCUCCCAAAGACUCUGUGGACCUCCUAGCUCCGCCUCUUCCACCUGGAAGCUCCGCCCCCAGGCUGAGGAGAAUGUGGCGCCUCCUGUCCUGCGGGGAGUACCGCUUCCUGCUGCUGCCUGACUUCCUGGGUCUGGCUGGGUCCUUCCUGUUUCUGGCCAGCGGAUGCAGCCUCCCCUUCGUGUACCUGGUGCCCUACGCCCUGAGUGUCGGCGUCAGCCACCAGCACGCCGCCUUCCUCAUGUCCAUCCUGGGGGUCAUCGACAUCAUGGGGAACAUCACCUUUGGCUGGCUGACGGACAGAAGGUGUUUGAAGCCGUACCGCCUGGCCUGUUACGUCUUCUCGGUCGGGAUGGAGGGCCUCUGCUGCCUCUUCAUGCCGUUACUUUGUUCCUUCCCGCUCCUCGUGUCCUUUGCCGUGCUCUACGGCUACUUCGACGGCGCCUACGUGGCUCUGAUCCCAGUGGUGACGUCUGAUGUGGUCGGAACUAGGUAUCUGUCCUCAGCUCUGGGCGUUGUCUACUUCCUCCACGCCAUACCCUACCUGGUCAGCCCGCCUAUUGGAGGCUGGCUGGUUGAUGUUACAGGAAGUUACACAGCCACUUUCUUCCUCAGCGGCACCGCUCUGCUGGCCAGUGCGGUCAUUCUCUCCGCCGUCACCGGAAUUCGCCGUUGCCGCCAUCGAUCAGAUUCGGUGCUGCUGCCAUCUUCUGAAAACCGUCAUCAGGGAACCCAAGCCCCUCCACCUCAGUCUAUCUGACCAAUCAGGUGGUUUCAUCACCUUCAAUAGGGAGGUGUUACCUCACAACCCUUAGAGAAAAGUACCAAUCAGAUUCCUCGACACCAAAGCCAAGCAGACGGCUAAACAGGCUGACGGACAGGUAUCGAUCAAACGAUGACUUCACAGGGAGUGAAAUCUUUUUAGAGUCUGCUGAAAAUGAAAACGAUAGAAUGAUUUUAAUGUUUUAAUGUUGAGGAAACUCACAGCUUCCUGUCUGAGCUGCCUCAUUAUGUUUCCUCGCCACAGUCAUGUGACCGUGACGAACACCCAUUCAGUUCGUUAGCCGUGUGCUACGUCUUUUAGCGUAGUGUGAGUGUACCUAAUAAACUGGACAGCAAAUAACUCAUCAGUCCAAGCUGAACUGAUCACAGUUAUUGUAGCUGAACCUGAACGCACCACGAUGGUUCCAGCUGUUUGUAGUGGAGGUCACAUGACGACGCUCUCAGGUAUCGACUUUAUUAACGAAGAAAUAAGAACUGGACUAAAGUCAACGUGCUGCAGGAAGUGUGUGUGUGAGAGAGUGUGUGUGUGUGUGUGUGUGUGUGUGUGUGUGUGUGUGAGAGAGAGUGUGUGUGUGUG